UGCUGGGUAGAGUAAUGGUAACUCAUUAGUCUCAUAAGCUAAAAAUAUAGGUUCGAAUCCUAUCUCCGCAA
rnacentral:tRNA from 1 species